rnacentral:rRNA from 1 species
GAUGAACGCUGGCGGCGUGCCUAACACAUGCAAGUCGAACGGAAAGACAGUAAGAUCGUUCUCUUACCGAUAGCGGAGGGCGGGCGUGUGACGAGUGCAUCGCAAUCUUCUCUUUCGGGGAGGACUACGGAAGUAGGGCUACAAUAAUACAGCAUACGAUGUACGGGGGGGUGCAGGAGAGCUUCUCGGCUUGGGCGAAUGUAUGAGCCGAUGUCGGAUUAGCUAGUUGGGGGGGUAAGGGCUCACCAUGGCGACGAUCCGUAGCCGAGCUGAGAGGAUGAUCGGCCACACUGGAACUGAGACACGGUCCAGACUCCUACGGGAGGCAGCAGUGGGGAAUGUUGGGCAAUGGGCGCAAGCCUGAUCCAGCCACGCCGCGUGGGUGAAGAAGGUCUUCGGGUCGUAAAACCCUUUUGUUGGGGAAGAACAACUGCGGGAGAAACCACGCCUGUUUUGACGGUACCUAAAGAAUAAGCACCGGCUAACUACGUG